GAUGAACGCUGGCGGCGUGCCUAAUACAUGCAAGUCGAGCGAACGGACGAGAAGCUUGCUUCUCUGAGGUUAGCGGCGGACGGGUGAGUAACACGUGGAUAACCUACCUAUAAGACUGGGAUAACUUCGGGAAACCGUAGCUAAUAAUGGAUAAUAUUUCGAACCGCUUGGUUCAAAAGAUAAUGGCGGCUUUCCCGUCACAUUGAGCUGGUUCCGCGUUGCAUUAGCUAGUUGGUAAGGUAACGGCUUACCAAGGCAACGAUGCAUAGCCGACCUGAGAGGGUGAUCGGCCACACUGGAACUGAGACACGGUCCAGACUCCUACGGGAGGCAGCAGUAGGGAAUCUUCCGCAAUGGGCGAAAGCCUGACGGAGCAACGCCGCGUGAGUGAUGAAGGUCUUCGGAUCGUAAAACUCUGUUAUUAGGGAAGAACAUAUGUGUAAGUAACUGUGCACAUCUUGACGGUACCUAAUCAGAAAGCAACGGCUAACUACGUG
rnacentral:rRNA from 1 species